ACGAUCGCAAGGUUGAAACUCAAAGGAAGGGACGGGGGCCAGCACAAGCAGUGGAGCAUGUGGUGGAAUGCGAUGCAACGCGAAGAACCGACAGUAGGCUUGAAAUGUGUUCGAUCGGUCGUGAAAGCGACCUUCCUUCGGGCGGACACACAGGUGCUGCAUGGCUGUCGUCAGCUCGUGCCGCGAGGUGUUGGGUUAAGUCCCGCAACGAGCGCAACCCCUACCAUUAGUUGCCACCGGGUAAUGCCGAGCACUCUAAUGGAACUGCCUACGCAAGUAGUGAGGAAGGUGGGGACGACGUCAAGUCCGCAUGGCCCUUACGCCUAGGGCUACACACGUGCUACAAUGGGCGCAACAAUGGGCAGCGAUACCGCGAGGUGGAGCGAAUCCCUAAAAAGCGCCCUCAGUUCGGAUUGGAGUCUGCAACUCGACUUCAUGAAGUUGGAAUUGCUAGUAAUCGCGUAUCAGCAUGACGCGGUGAAUACGUCCCCGGGCAUUGUACACACCGCCCGUCAAGCCAUGGAAGCCGGGGGUACCCAAAGAUAGCGACCCAACAUUCGGGAAGGAGCUAUUUAAGGU
rnacentral:rRNA from 1 species